CGCUAGAGGGCGAGAGAGGCUGGGGACCCCGUGGAGUAGCCUGUCUCAGGUCCCCGUGGCCCACUGGGAGGGGCGCUCCCGGGAUGAAGCCAGAGUAAAUACAGGACAUCAGGACAUUGUUUUCUGGCGGUGAUGGUGAACAAGAUGGACAUAAGGCCUUCCUCAGUGGCAAGGAUCUCAAGAUCCCUUCUUGAUCUCAGAUUCUGUAAAUGGGAUACCUUUCUCCAUGUACUGAAGCAGCUCAAAGCCCUCGCCAGAUCUCAGCACCAUGCUCUUGGACUUACCAGCCUCCAGAACUCCAUGAAAAUAGCUUCUCCCAUAGUUGCUGCCCCUUUAACCUGGAUACAGGCCCUGAAACACAGUCAUCUACCCAAGCCCAGCCAAGAAUUAUGGGUGAAAAUACCUCAUAUGAUGAUCCAUGCAAAGGUACCAUUUGCCGUUCCCACCGUGCUCUUAUGAGGAAAGCAGCUCCCUGUUUUAUCUGCAUGAAGUUGUUGUGACUUACGCCAUAUACAUAAACUAUAACAAACCCUGCCAUUUUGAUCACAGCAGAUUGGAACAGAUGUUGUAGUAUAUUAUAAAGGCAGACAAUGUAAGUUGAUCAUUAGGAAGAACUAAUCCUUCAAGAAACUUGGAGUAAAACUGCCCAAGAGGGAUGCUCUGUAUCAGAUGCUAACAUCAACACAAUCCAUUCUUCUUGUUAAGGAUGAAGUCAUAUGUACACAGAAGUGAGUCACCACAGCACGAUAAGCAAUUGCACGAUAAGCAAUUGCUCCAUUUCUCCAUGUAACUUGCUCACAUGCCUAUCUUGGAAGUGCUGAAUAUUCUCUUUGGGUCUGACCUAUGAAUGUCAACAAAUCUCUACUUUCUCCACAUGUCACUUGACUACUGUUUAGCCUUUUAUUCUUCAACAACAGUAACUAAUCUUUAAAAACAUUUACCAUAUAAUAACAAAAAUAGUACUGAAGAGUUCCAGUAUUUUAUGUUUACAUGUCUUAUUUUGUUUAAUCCUAAUAAACUAAUCUAUAAGGUGCUUAUUGUUGUCUCCUUUUUACAGAUAAGGAAACUGAGGUCUACAGAGGAAAAAAUAACAGCUUCGGUGUCACAUAGGUUGUAAGCAGAGGAACUGGGCUACAAAUCCGGAUCUGUCUGGCUCCAAGGCCAGACUUCUACACUUCUAUACAGCAGUGGUUCUCAAAGUGUGGUCCCCACACCAGCAGCAUCAGCAUCACCUAGGAACUUGUUAGAAAUGCAAAUACAGUCCCACCCAAGCAUACUGAAUCAAAAACUUUGAGGCUAGGGCCCAGGAAUCUGUUUUAACAAAUCCUCCUCACUAAGAUUCUGAUCCCUGCUCAAGUUUGAGAACAACUGCUGUAUAUCACACUACCUUUACAUAAUAAUAUUAAGGGAAGUAAAUAAGUCUGUGAGCAGAAAUUAUCUGAAAGACUUCCUAAAGAAGGUAUACUGUAAGCCAAGCCUUAGAGGAUAGAGAGAAUAUAAGUUGGUAUAAACAGUGGCACUGUUUCUAGCAUUUAUUCCUAUCUUCUUUAUGGUACUAUGAACUUUGAAGGAAGUAUAAUACAAUGCUCAGUUCAGUACUGAUACAUAUAUAUACUCAAGGCAUUUUGUUCAAUGAAUAAAAUUUUUGAUAAAGGGUACCUAAAUAUACCAAAUAUAAUCUUGUUUCAGGCCUUAAGUGAAAUUGAUUUUUACACUUCUGGAUAAUCUAUGUACAGCCAAUUAUAUUUCAAUGUUCUUAUCUUUAAAGUCUAUCUCGAACUCUUAAACCCCUCAGCACAAAGUGUUCAGGCCCUUAUCUUAUAUGGCUCUCAGCAUGAGUGCCACGUGCUUCUGUAACACUGUGAAGAUAACACGGACAAUUAUGGUCAAUUAGCUUUAACAAGUAGAUUAUUGCCUGAACAGUUGAAAGAAGACACAUCAAAUUUAGUCUUGUUAAAUUGAGAAUUUUUAAGAAUGGGAGAAAAAAAUUAAAUCCUAUGAAAAAGAAAAAUAAUACAUUUUGUAGAAUAUGAGAUAUACUUCAUUCAUUAAAAUCUGAAGUGGGCCCCAUAUCUAAUAUAUAGAAGAUUAUAAUUGGUAUUUCCAUUCUAAUUCAUACAAUGCUAAAAUGUUAAGAUUGUGAAUUCUCUUCUAUUAGAGAUAGUUCCAUUGGUACAGAUCACAUAAUAAAAAUAAUAUAUAUUUAUUUUUCAUAGUAGCAAAGCCCUUGCCAUAAUUUUGAUGAGCACUCUUUAGAUAUGCAUUAGCACAUAAAUGCUUAUAUAAUUUUGAAUUCAUAGAGUGCUCCCUAAAAGAAUCUUAUGUCCUAAAAACUUAUACCCAAAAUGGCCUGAAUGAUAAAAGACUUUUCACUGUGAGAAAUGUGCUCCUCCCCCAAAAGCAAUUGGGAAAUGAGAAGCAACAAGCAAACAAGAGGCAGAUAAGGCAUGUCUUAAUCAAAUAUAUAUAUGGAGUCUUAAAUAUUCUUGCAUACUUUUACAUUCUUACAUAUACAGAAAGAUUUCUUUAGGAAGAUGGCUAUUUUUGUUAAUAUAUAUAUAUGUGUGUAUCAUAACUUCCUCCAGGACACUUUAAAAUACGGAUCUAAUUUGACGGAAUCUAGACUGCCGGAAAAGAAGUAGUUCACAGCUAAGAUAAAUAAAAUUUAAAGGACAGAGAUCAAUGUCUAUGGAAUUCAAAAUGCUUUGAGCCAACAUGUAAAAGCUAUAUUAUAGCCUAUUGCUUAGGACAGAGAAGUCAUACUUACAGCAAAUAAAAGCCUGAUCCAGGCAGUUAAGGUUUAUAAUCUCCCUCCCUUCAGUGUGGGCUGGACUUAGUGACUUGCUUCUUACAAAUAGAAUAUGGCAAAAGUGAUGGCAUAUCACUUCUGAGAUUUGUUUUCAUAAGUUGUGGCUUUCAUCUUAGAUGCUGUCUCUCACUCCCUCGCAUACUUGCUCUGAGAGAAGUCAGCUUGCUAUGUUCAGGGCCCACAUAGCAAGGAACUGAGGGAGGCCAACAGCCAAUAAAGAACAGACACAUAAGGCCAACAUUCCAAGAGGAAGUGAAUCCUGCCAACAACCACAGAAGGGAGCUUGGUAAUGCAUCUUUCCCCAGCCAAACCUCAGAUGAGAUUGCAGCCCUAUCCAACAGCUUAGCAAUAGCCUCACAAAAGACCCAUAGUCAAGACUCAUAGAAAAUAUGAGAUAAUGAAUAUUUCUUAUUUUAAAUCAUUAAGUUUUAGGGAUAAUUUGUUAAGCAGUGGUAGAAAACUAAAACAAAGGAUGAUUUGGAGUCCUGAAGAGAAGCUAAAAUAGAACUCACAACUAUAGCUCAGCAUUGACUCAAACUUGAAAAGGGGAAUGUAUUUUUGAUGUGUGUAAUGCAAAGGUCAAUCCCUAGGUAAGAGAAAAGAUCUUGAGACUCAGGUAGUAAUGACAGCAGAAGAGAUUGGAAAGAUGAAUCCAGGUUCUAUAUCCUUCUCAAGUAACCCAGUAAAAUGAGAAUUUACUUUUAAUUUUCCUUAAAAUAUAUGCCUCAAAAUUCCUUUGUGAAAUAUAAACAUUUGGUUGUACAUUAGAAUUAACUCUUCUGGACUAUGUUAAAGAAAAAGGUAGGAAAAUGGGGAACUGAUAUGGUUAGGUUGUGUCCCCACCCAAAUCUCAUCUUAAAUUGUAACUCCCACAAUUCUUACAUGUCAUAGGAGGGACCUGGUAGGAGGUAAUUGAAUCAUGGGGGUAGGUCUUUCCCAUGCUGUUCUCCUGAUAGUGAAUAAGUCUCAUGAGAUCUGAUGGUUUUAAAAAGGUGAAUUUCCCUGCACAAGGUCUCUCUCUCUUUAUCUGCCGCCAUCCAUGUAAGAUGUGACUAGCUCCUCCUUGCCUUCCACCAUGAUUGUAAGGCCUCCCUAGCCAUGUGGAACUGUAAGUCCAUUAAACUUCUUUUUCUUCACAGUCUCGGGUAUGUCUUUAUUAGCAGCAUGAAAAUAGACUAAUACAGUAAAUUGGUACCAGUAGAGUGGAGCACUGC
rnacentral:lncRNA from 1 species